rnacentral:lncRNA from 1 species
AGUUGGCAUUGAUACAUUGUUCAGAAUCUUUCUAAAAACCUCCGUUCUUUUUCCGACCCCAGUGACCGCUAAUUGUGGAAAACAAUGUACUGGACUAUUCAAGAAAGAAAUAUUUUGCCUGUUCAUCGACUCAGCCAAUAAGGUUUUCUUCAGUGUCGAAAUUGGUAUGGAGACGUGGAUGGAGAUUUGAGUCUUAGGAAUUUGGGAAGAGCUCAAGUGAUUCAGAAUGAAAAGACCUUGGCACAGACCUGUUAAGGAAGCUCCAUAUAAGGGCCACCGGGGUUGGCUGAGUCAGAAUACCAGCCAUGUGGCAUGUCGCAUGGGGCAAGAGCUGUGCUGCCCAUGGGAGUCCAGAGAAGGAGCACACUAAGGACCAACACCAGGUAGGCCUUGCCCAAACAGGACUCUAAAGAAGUUGGCCAAAAGAGGGUUGCAGAUCUAGUAGUUUAGAAGUGGUGCCAAGAUAAGGUCAGAUUCCUUAUCUUGAGCCACCUUGAGGGU